rnacentral:rRNA from 1 species
UAGCAGUAAAAAARWGGACGRCGCUGGCGGCGUGCCUAACACAUGCAAGUCGAACGGUAACAGAUCCUWCGGSAUGCUGACGAGUGGCGCACGGGUGAGUAACGCGUGGGUAAMCUGCCCAUCAGUGGGGAAAAACCCCGGGAAAMCGGGGCUAAUACCGCAUACGACCUUCGGGUGAAAGCYGGGGAUUCCUUCGGGAACCUGGCGCUGAUAGAUGGGCCCGCGUCCGAUUAGCUUGUUGGUGAGGUAAUGGCUCACCAAGGCUGCGAUCGGUAACUGGUUUGAGAGGAUGAUCAGUCACACUGGAACUGAGACACGGUCCAGACUCCUACGGGAGGCAGCAGUGGGGAAUUUUGCACAAUGGGCGAAAGCCUGAUGCAGCGACGCCGCGUGCGGGAAGAAGGCCUUCGGGUUGUAAACCGCUUUCAACAGGGAAGAAGGAAUGAGGGCCAAUACCCCUCUGCCUUGACGGUACCUGUAGAAGAAGCACCGGCUAAUUUCGUGCCAGCAGCCGCGGUAAUACGAAAGGUGCAAGCGUUGUUCGGAUUUACUGGGCGUAAAGCGCGCGUAGGCGGCUAAUCAAGUCGGAUGUGAAAUCCCGGGGCUCAACCCCGGAACUGCAUUCGAAACUGGUUGGCUAGAGUUCGAGAGGGGGAUGCGGAAUUCCGAGUGUAGCAGUGAAAUGCGUAGAUAUUCGGAGGAACACCUGAGGCGAAGGCGGCAUCCUGGAUCGACACUGACGCUGAGGUGCGAAAGCGUGGGUAGCAAACAGGAUUAGAUACCCUGGGUAGUCCACGCCCUAAACGAUGUCUACUAGCCCGUUGGCGGGKGGAUSGAACCCCUGCAGGUGGGCAAAGCUAAACGGCGAUAAGUAGACCGCCUGGGGAGUACGGCCGCAAGCGAGCA